UUUGUAAAAGUGAGUGAGUAGCCGCUAACAUUUUAUUUUAGGGCGAGCAAGUACUAACCAUACCCAAAUGUUAGCGAGCAGGGAUUAAAUUAACUCGUCUAGGAAUGUCUGUUUAGAAAUCCUAGAGAGUUGGGGUAAGACACAGUUAAGCCUCACUGAAACAAUUUCCACCAUUGUUGCUAUAAUCUCUGUUGCUACAAUCUCGGCUUAUGAAGCUAAUUUAAUGAAUACUCUACAUACUCUCCCGUCAAAAACGCCCUUAAACAAGCACAAUGUCUCACAUUUCCAACCACUACUGUUCGCUACUGAAACAAUGCUGCGAAACUCGUAAUUUACACCAAGCGAAAGGGCUACAUGCUAGCAUAGUCAAAACCGUUGCAAACCCAGAAACCUUUUUGCUUAACAACCUCAUAAAUGCGUACUAUAAGUUGAAGAGAAUUACAUAUGCACGCCAUGUGUUCGAUCAAAUAACUAGACCAAACCUCACUCUACAUACUCUCCCGUCAAAACCGCCCUUCAACAAGCACAAUGUCUCACAUUUCCAACCACUACUGUUCGCUACUGAAACAAUGCUGCGAAACUCGUAAUUUACACCAAGCGAAAGGGCUACAUGCUAGCAUAGUCAAAACCGUAGCAAACCCAGAAACCUUUUUGCUUAACAACCUCAUAAAUGCGUACUAUAAGUUGAAGAGAAUUACAUAUGCACGCCAUGUGUUCGAUCAAAUAACUAGACCAAACCUCUUUUCGUGGAACACCAUUCUCUCUGCUUACUCGAAAUCUGGAGAUGUUGUAAAAAUGCGAGAAAUAUUUAAUUCGUCUCCCAAGAAAGACGGGGUUUCUUGGAACUUGAUAAUAUCGGGGUAUGUGGAUUCUGGAUUGAGUGAUAAGGCUUUGGAGGCCUAUAAGUUGAUGUUAAGAAAUGGAUUGGUGAAUUUGAAUAGAAUUACGCUUUCCACUAUGAUUAUAAUGUUGUCAAACAAGGGUUGGGUUGAUUUGGGUAGGGGAAUUCAUGGGCUAAUAGUGAAAUGCGGGUUUGAGUCAUAUGUUUUUGUGGGAAGUCCGUUGGUGGACAUGUAUGCUAAAUGUGGUUUGAUAUGUGAGGCAAAACGCGUAUUUGAUGAGUUGCCUGAGAGAAAUUUGGUUAUGUAUAAUACGAUGAUUAUGGGUUUUAUGAGGUGUGGGAUGGUGGGAGAGUCUGAGCAUUUGUUUAGGAGUAUGCCUGAGAAGGACUCAAUUACUUGGACUACAAUGAUUACAGGGCUCACACAGAAUGGAUUGUUAAAAGAAGCAGUGGAUCUGUUUCGUGAAAUGAGGUUUAAAGACUUCGAUAUAGAUCAAUUUACUUUUGGCAGCAUCUUGACUGCUUGUGGAGGUCUUGUGGCAUUGGGAGAAGGCAAUCAAAUUCAUGCUUAUAUAAUUAAAACUGAUUAUGUGGACAAUAUUUUUGUUGGCAGUUCCCUAGUUGACAUGUACUCUAAGUGUAGAAGCAUUAAAAAUGCAGAAACAGUUUUUAGGAGAAUGAUCCACAAAAAUAUUGUAUCUUGGACUGCCAUGGUAGUCGGUUAUGGCCAGAAUGGGUACAGUGAGGAAGCUGUUCGAGUUUUUUGCGAAAUGCAGAGAGAUGGGAUUUGGCCAGAUGAUUUUACUCUAGGAAGUGUGAUUAGCUCUUGUGCUAAUCUUGCUUCCUUGGAAGAGGGAGCCCAGUUUCAUGGUCAAGCACUAGUUUCAGGCUUAAUUUCCUUCAUUACGGUUUCUAAUGCACUUGUAACACUGUAUGGGAAAUGUGGCAGCAUAGAAGAGUCUCAUCGUUUGUUUAAUGAGAUGAAGUAUAGGGAUGAAGUGUCUUGGAGCGCAUUAGUUUCAGGCUAUGCACAAUUUGGAAAAGCAAGAGAAACAAUUAGUUUAUUUGAGGAAAUGUUAGCUCAUGGUCUACAACCUGAUGGAGUUACAUUUAUUGGUGUUCUUUCUGCUUGCAGUAGGGCUGGACUUGUGGAGCAAGGGAGUCAAUAUUUUGCGUCAAUGACUGAACAAUAUGGAAUUAUGCCAAUUCUUGGUCACUACACUUGCAUGAUUGAUCUGUAUAGUCGAGCUGGACAAUUAGAAGAAGCAAGAACAUUCAUACUCAAAAUGCCUUGUCAUCCUGAUGCAAUUGGUUGGGCUACAUUAUUAAGCUCAUGUAGAAAUCGUGGUAACCUGGAAAUAGGGAGAUGGGCAGCAGAAUGUCUUCUGGAAUUGGAUCCUCACAAUCCUGCUGGCUAUGUAUUGCUUGCUAGUAUGUAUGCUGCUAAAGGGAAAUGGGAUCAGGUGUCUCAGCUAAGAAGAGGAAUGAGGGAUAAAGGUGUGAAAAAGGAACCUGGAUUUAGUUGGAUCAAGUAUAAGAACGUAGUACACAUUUUCUCAGCUGAUGACAAGUCAAAUCCAUUUUCGAAUCAGAUAUAUGAAGAGAUGGAUAAAUUAAACUAUAAAAUGAUAAAGGAGGGAUAUGUUCCAGACACGAGUUCUGUUCUGCAUGAUGUUGAAGAAUCAGAGAAAACAAAGAUGCUAAACUAUCAUAGUGAAAAACUGGCUAUUGCAUUUGGUUUACUAUUUAUUCCUCCUGGGUUGCCUAUAAAAGUGGUUAAAAAUCUCCGAGUAUGUGUGGACUGCCAUAAUGCAACUAAAAUAAUUUCAAAGAUCACCAGCAGAGAGAUUCUUGUGAGAGAUGCUGUACGUUUCCAUUUAUUUAAAGACGGAAAAUGUUCUUGUGGAGAUUUCUGGUAGUGGGUUUUAUUGGCAUUUAAAAGAUAUCAGGGAGGACACUGAAACCUUCUAAGAUAUCGUGCAAAUGGCUAGAGCCAUGAUCUUGAACACCUUUUGGAAUAUAAGUUAGGUCAUUUGCGAGCAAAAUUUUACCAAUUUCUCAUGAAAGAUUAUCAGAUUACUGGAGAAAACUAGUGGCUUGGUGUCUUUUAAAGGAAUAGUGAGCUGCUCUUCCAUCAACUUGUAUGAAGAUUCUAACUAGCCACACUAUUGAAGUUUCUUCUAGACAAGGUAUGUUUUCUAUUUGCUCUAACUCAUACUACCACAAUGAGGGAGAAAUAGUAUUCUUUCAUUAGAGAUAUUAAAUCAGUGCCUGUGUAGCUUGAAGCUUCUGCAACAUUAAACUGAACGAAAGUACUUGUCUGUUAACCGGAUUGCUAAGAUUUAUCAUUAGUCAUAGUGAUGGUUAAGGAUAUUGGACACCAGACAUUUCAUACUAUAUUUGGUUUGGUCAACAUAAAACAUGCUGUAACUUUUGUAAAUGAAAGUUCCUAUUAAUGUUGUUUUAUCAUAGGACUGUAAUUUGUUUAUUUAGCUCUUUUACUACCUUAAGAAUUUAAAUGCAAAAUAACUUUUUCUUUCUACUGUGAUAAAAUGCAAUCAUCUCCUGAUUGACUAGCUGCAAUCCUUUUACGUCAUUUUAGUUUCCACAGAUGGAAACUGAUGUAGAUGCCAUUUUAUGAACCUUUAUCUUUUGAAUUUUUAAUGUUGAUCGAAAAAUCUAGGAUAUGGUGUGUUUGCCUGCCUACAGACGAAUAUUUAAUAGUUAGUUUUACGUCCCUAAUAGAACAGUAUAAUUAACAUAUUCAUUCACCUUUCUCGAGCUUUAACAUGACUGAUAAAAUAAACAAAUCAUGCAUCCUUUUGAUGCAACUCUAUAAUUCAUAUCAAGAAGAAGAAACUCACAAAACAAAUGAAGUACGUGAUUGCUUAUUGAUAUAUUGUUCCUGUAGUUACAAAGAGUUUGUGAACUUGAACGUUGGAGUGAGUACGAUAUUAUAAAAACAGAAGCCAAAUUACUCUCUUCCUUUUAGAACCCUGGCAGCUCUUCUUAAAUUGAUUUUGUAGACUCCAACUGACUUUGCUGUUGAUUCUCCAUGAGCGUGAAAGAUGGCUCAGUAUGAUUCAUUUUGUACAGGAAAGAAGUAAGGCAUUAGAAAACUACCUGGAAACGAGUGCAGAUUUCUAUGACUUCAGCUAGCAGUGCCCAAUCGCUGAAGUUUCUCUGAAUGAACUGGUAAGCAAUGCCAUUCUUUCCUUUACCAAUUAUUAAAAAUCCACCCUUUACCUCACCUUUGAAAUUUUGGUCUAUUCCCAAGCCUUUGCUCUCUUAUAAUUUGCAAUUGCUUUAGGGUUGAAUAGGAAACCAGAUAUAAACUUUUCUUUCAGUAGCUUCCCCCUACCUAGGGCUUUAAAAAACACCAUGCCUCUGUCAAAAAGCACAAAUUCACCCCCGUAUCUGGGCCAGACAUCCUUUAUUGAUAUAAUUGAGCAUCCAUAAGCCAGUUGCCAUGCAUUAUCAUGUGAGUUAAAAAUAUACCUCAGAUUCUAUAUGCUUAUGAAGUACUGCAAAUAAUUGGACCCUGAGUGUAUCAAAUACAGGUUUCUUGGAAUGUAGUUGGUGGGCUUCAUCUCUGUACAUGAAAUUCUAGAUUUGUUGGAAGCACAGUUGACAAUGUAAGUUGAUGUCGAGUGCAGUAUAUUCAUAAGAUGAUACUGGGUUGACGGAUGCGGAGGAGCAUAGCUGGUUUCUCACGCCAUAAUUCUGAAGCUUUAAUUGGAGGUGUUCUAGUUUUCACCAGAUGCUCCACUCCAAUCUUAUAUUCUGGAGUUAGUUUGUGAAUCAAAAUAUUCUCAAUCGCGGAAUAAGUGAUGAGGACAUCGGACGUUUACUUAUUUUAUUUAAGCAUUAUUUAUUUUUGGACUAUUAUUUAAAAUUUGGACUUGUAUGGGGCUCGAGCCCAAUCUCAUUAGGGUUGGUUUAUUAUUUAAACCUAUUUUGCAUUGUAAUUUUCAGUUGAUGAAUGAAUAAUAUUUUGGUGGCUUAUGGCGCAUUCCUCUCUUCCUAUUUUCUUUCUUCCCUUCUGUUGAAUUCCUGUCCUCUUUCUUCUCUCUAAUUCCCC
rnacentral:lncRNA from 1 species